GUUGACACAUCACAAACAUGUCAGUUGUCAAAGAAAAUGGCGUCAGUGCGGUGACGUCUUUCUUUUGUCUGUGCAAUUUGUCGCAGAAAAAUAAAGAAAUGGGCACAAUUUCUCCACCAAAAGUUGUUUGGAGAUGCCCUACGUUCGUGAAGUGCGUUGGAAGUGAUAGUGAUGGUGUGAAAGGGAUGUUGGUGUUCAGUGAAAAGUGAAAGACAUCCCUUGACUCUUGUGGCUGUCAAAAAUGCAUCAAAAGACUCCAAUAUGAGGCUGGUUGACUUCUCCGGAUCCUGCGUCAUCUCGAUCUCAGGACAAAUUGUGUCAUCUUGUAACUGGUGCCAAGACAAUCAGAAAAUGCAUGUGUGCUGGUGAAAUUGCUCCUCCAGGGAGGAAUUUUGUCAAUUUGGAUGCCAGACAAAAUCUACAAAUGAAGACACCCUACUAAAGAAUCUACUACAAAGGAAGACACUCUGGGUGCUGGAGGUAAGCUGCUCAAGCUGCAGAGAGCUGAAAGUUAUGCGAUCUCAUACGACAAGAUGCCACAAGAGAGAGAGGGGAGGAUUGGAGAUCAGCAUUCCCCGUCAGAAAUCAUCAAGAAGAUUACAUUGAUCAUCGACGUAGUAUAUCGAGGUGACCAUUGCUGGGAUUGAAGGUGGUUUCCAGACCACUACCGGAAAGAGAUAAAUAAAUUCGCGGAUGAUGGUGUGGUUUCAGGUGAUUCAGGUGGUUCUGAUGGUUCAGGUGAGCUUAAUAUAAAAUUUUAUAGGUUAACCCUUUAAGGACAAGAAGGUCGAAAAUUGGGGGUGCAGAAAAAAUAAUUUUUAGUGACUUCUGCGAGCGAAACAUAACUUUAGACGGGCGUAGGAAAGAUAUCUCUUUUUGGGUAACCGGAGUCACCGGUAAUCCCAUCGUCCUUAGAGGGUUAAAAGUUUAUACAGAAAAUUUUAUAUUCGCGUCUGAUCAGUCCAGCCACAUAAUUCAAAAUGAUCAGUAAGAAAAAGGUCAGUAAAAAAAGGGCACAAAAAAGUUUAAAAAGAUCAGUAAAAAGAAAUUAAAUUGAAAAUCAGUGAAAAAUAAAAUACGGUCAGUAAAAAAUUUAAAAUGAGCAGUAAAAAAUAAAAUUUUAUCAGUUUAAAAUGCAAAGCGGUCAGCGAAAAUUAAAAAGUGGUCAGUAAAAAAUUAAAAUUGGUCAGUAAGAAAUUAAAUAUGAGAAGUAAAAAAAAUAAACUGUGGGCAAUAAAAAAUAAAAA